GACGAACGCUGGCGGCGCGCUUAACACAUGCAAGUCGAGCGAAUCGGCGGACGGGUGAGUAACACGUGAGUAACCUGCCUUAGACAUUGGGAUAGCCUCGGGAAACCGGUAUUAAUACAAAAUGGUCUAAGAUGGACUCGCGUCCCAUUAGCUAGUUGGUGGGUAACGGCCCACCAAGGGGACGAUGGGUAGCCGGCCAGAGAGGGAGAACGGCGACAGUGGAACUGAGAAACAGUCCAAAAUAUACGGGAGGGAGCAGUGGGGAAUAUUGCACAAUGGAGGGAACGAUGAUGCAGCGAGGGGGGGAGAGCGAAGAAGGCUGGCGAGUCGUAAAGUUCUUUUAUAUGGGAAGCGGUACCAUAAGAAAAAGCCCCGGCUAACUACGUGCCAGCAGCCGCGGUAAUAC
rnacentral:rRNA from 1 species